rnacentral:rRNA from 1 species
AGUGAACGCUGGCGGUAGGCCUAACACAUGCAAGUCGAACGGCAGCACAGUAAGAGCUUGCUCUUACGGGUGGCGAGUGGCGGACGGGUGAGGAAUACAUCGGAAUCUACUUUUUCGUGGGGGAUAACGUAGGGAAACUUACGCUAAUACCGCAUACGACCUACGGGUGAAAGCAGGGGAUCUUCGGACCUUGCGCGACUGAAUGAGCCGAUGUCGGAUUAGCUAGUUGGCGGGGUAAAGGCCCACCAAGGCGACGAUCCGUAGCUGGUCUGAGAGGAUGAUCAGCCACACUGGAACUGAGACACGGUCCAGACUCCUACGGGAGGCAGCAGUGGGGAAUAUUGGACAAUGGGCGCAAGCCUGAUCCAGCCAUACCGCGUGGGUGAAGAAGGCCUUCGGGUUGUAAAGCCCUUUUGUUAGGAAAGAAAAGCAGCAGGUUAAUACCCCGCUGUUCUGACGGUACCCAAAGAAUAAGCACCGGCUAACUUCGUG